UUGUUGUUUUCUUGUCCUUCGGGUAUUGCAACACGAGGGAUCUUUUUUAU
rnacentral:ribozyme from 1 species